GAAACUGGUGCUAAUACCGGAUAUCCUUUUUUGCUGCAGGGCGAAUAAGGAAAGGUGGCCUCUUCAUGAAAGCUACCGCGUAGGGAUGAGCCUGCGUACCAUUAGCUAGUAGGUGUGGGUAACGGCCCACCUAGGCAACGAUGGUUAGCGGGUCUGAGAGGAUGAUCCGCCACACUGGAACUGGAACACGGACCAGACUCCUACGGGAGGCAGCAGUGAGGAAUAUUGCGCAAUGGGGGAAACCCUGACGCAGCGACGCCGCGUGAGUGAGGAAGGUCUUCGGAUCGUAAAGCUCUGUCAGAAGGGAAGAAGUGUUAUAUGGUUAACACCCAUAUAAUUUGACGGUACCUUCAGAGGAAGCACCGGCUAACUCCGUGCCAGCAGCCGCGGUAAUACGGAGGGUGCAAGCGUUGUUCGGAAUUACUGGGCGUAAAGGGCGCGUAGGCGGCCUGAUAAGUCAGGUGUGAAAGUCCACGGCUCAACCGUGGAAGUGCAUUUUGAAACUGUCAGGCUUGAGUAUCGGAGGGGGAGUGUGGAAUUCCCGG
rnacentral:rRNA from 1 species